GCAGACAUGGCAGCAUAGGGAAACAAAAAACGAACCUUGCAGCGGCCAUGCCAAACCUCCACGGCGGAACCGGCGAUCGAAAAGUUCGUGGCAACCCGAUGGUUCUCACAUGGGCUGAAGCAGCGCAAUAUCUGCAUUGUCAUUGAUCAUUGAAAUAAUUUUCGAGUAAAGGCACUGCAGAAGGAUAAACAAACCAGUGUUGAAUUGAAGCGUCUCAAAGUUAUAUCGAGGUGAGUAUACAUUGAUUUGCUAAACCACUAGUACAUAGUAUAUUAUUAUGUAUACUGAAUCUUGCCUCUAGAAAUUUUGUAAGCUCUGAAACAAAACAAUAAGGAUCGAAAACAAGUUAAUAAAACACCAAAUAAACUUACUUCACAGCAAUACAUAUAACAUACUGCCACAAAGACUAUUAUUCAAUCAAAGACAGAUUUCAUGUUCCAAUUUACUUUAGCAAAUUCAAAGCCUGCAAUAUCGAUCUCUCUUCCACUGGACAUGUAUUAUCCGGAACAACACUAUCAUCACCAAAUUCCAAUUGCUGUUUAAACUUGUCAUAUAGUGAAGGGGUUACUAGGCUAACACCAAAUCCUCUUAACUGCACUGGCAUGUACUGUGAUGUCGGUGUUCUUGAUGAUGCUCUAACCUGAAUUUUAAUCAUUGACCAAUCAUUGACUCGGCUAGCUAGGUAAUGAGACAAUCUUGGGUCAUACAUUAGAUACACAUGAUCCGAUUCAAUUCCGUGAUGUGGUCUGUUCAAGUACACUUUAAUACCUUCAUCUUCACCAUCACAGUCAUUGAUUUUUAAUUUAAGAAUUGAACCCUUUGAUGAGAUGGUUGGAAUGAUGAAGCCAUUGCAAUCACUAAUUUUGAAUUUAAGAAUUGAACCCUCUGAUGAGAUGGUUGGAAUGAUGAAGCCAAAAAUGAAGCCUAACCUAGAGAAAUAAGGAGCAGAAGAAAGAUCAAUAGUUAUGAAAUCAUGUGUAGUUGUACUAUAUUCCAACCACUCUGGAAUUUUGCUACCUGGGUACACGUACAUGCGUUGAUUAAGAUCGUGAUCAUGAUCAUGAUGACGAUCACGAUUAUGAUCGCAUGUGGAUAUAUGUUUGUGUGAAAAGCUCAUCAUGUUAAUUUGAGCAUUCAACCCAAUAGCCUUGAGAGAAGGCUCAUUUAGUUUAAGGCAAUUCCAGAAGAUAACCCUUUUCCUCUUUUCCUUAAGUUGUUCACUAGCAGUUGAACCAAACACUACAUUCUCCAGUGAUACACAACCAAUAGCAUCUAGUAUUUCUAGCGAUAGAGGAAGCUCCGGUAGAGUUUGAAGCUCUCUGCAAUGAUGCAAGCCUAGUUGUUUCAACCUUGUAAGAUUCUUGAUGCUCCUAGGCAAGCUCUCAAUGUGAGUGUGUCCUAGAAGUAACUUUUCAAGUUUGGUUUGAAGUCCAAUUGAUGAGGGUAGUUCUUUGAUACUUGUGAGUUCUAAAUUCAGUUCGUUCAUAUUCUUUGAGGUCACUGAGAAUUCCUUCAGUGAUGUGCAGUUGUAGAGGGAGAGAUGACUAAGGGAACUUAAAUGGUUAUUAUUGCUUUGAAGUCUUGUAAGGGAAAUGCAUCCACUCAGAUCCAGUUUCUUAAGAUUUUUGAGAGAGAAAAUAGAUGGAUGGACACUAGUCAACCCUGGACAGAAUUGGAGGUCCAUUACUGCAAGACUUGUGGCCUUUGAAAAGUCUGGUAGCUCUGUUAGGAGUGUUGAUGAAUGGAGUAUCAGGACAUUCAAAUUCACAAGAUCCUGUUCCAUUUAGAACAAACCAAGACAAGAUUUAUGAACCAAAUGAAUAUGAAUUUAACUGAAUGCUAAUACUGGAAUAUAUAUUGUUUAAAUAUGUUUUUUAGUACCUAAUUAUCUUUGGUCUCAUAUUGGUCCUUCAUUUCUAUAUGUGUCAACUUUGGUCUUUAUUUGUAGCGAACUACGCCACACAGAGAGCAUAUAAAAAAGCUAUUGAAUCAUGGUGGUAGAAAUAAUUGCUUGCAACUAUUCAAGCACAUUUAACUCGCAACUAAAAUUUGAUAGCUUUUACACAGGUUCUCUGAUAGACAGUUAGCUACAGAUUGAAGUUGACACAAUUUUAGAUAUAAAGGAUUAAAAUGUUACAAGUUCUUGGGGAACCAACAGUGACUUGAUUAAAAAUAUAUUUUAGACUAUUUAUAUUACUUACCUUCACUCCAUGCCAAAGUUUUUUCAAUCGGCUAUAAGGCAAGCUCAAUGUAACAAGGUUUUCUGCAGAAAAUUUGGAUGGCAAGGAUUCCAAAGGGUAAUACUCCCAACGAAGAUAUCUCAGUUCAUUAGGCAAGAAUUCAAGCCCUUGAGGAAGACACAGACUACCUUCAUUUGGAGACCCCUUAGUGUAAAUAUCCAAAAAUUUCAACUUGCUCAUCUUGGCAAAUACUUGAGGGCUUAACUGCAGCUCCUUAAUUUCAGAUAAUCUAAUGGCCAUACUUCUGAUGGCCUCACUUCCCUGCUAAAAUAACAGUACAGGUUUUUUAAACAUCAAUCAUUUCAACAAUACAAAACCUAACAAAAAUAAUUAAAUCUUCUAUAAAAAAAAAUAUUUACCUUGUCAUCUUUCAAUACAUGAUAAAUGUCAUCAGGCUCAAAUAGUCGGCUUCGGCUUCCAGGUUCUUCAACAGACUCUUGUCGUACAAUAUCCCAAGCGGUUUCUUGUAUAAUGUCAUGCAUUGAUACAAUGCUCUGUUGAGAAAUAGUUACAAGAGCUUUAUCUUUCAGCCUGUCUAAUUUAGUGCUCACGGAAUAACGACGAUCUUUUAAUAGAAGUUUUAUGAGGUCAAGAUUCAAUUUCAAUCCGUCAAAAAAGCAGGCAAUAUCCAAGAAUAUAUUCUUUUCAUGAUAAUCAAGAUUAGUGUAUAUCAAUCUGAAAACAUCAUGGACAUUUUCAAUCUGCUCUAUUUUCAAAAUCCUUGCUUGGCUUUCCCAUAUGUCUUUAUCUUUCCCACAAAGAAGGUUAGCUAAAGCUUUAAGAACUAGUGGGACACCUUUGGUAUAAUCUACCAUCUUCUCUGAUAGCUUAUAGUACUCCAUUUCAAGAUCCUCAUGUUUAGUAAAAGCAUGCAGAUUGAAAAGUUGAAAAGAUUCAGCAGAGUCCAAUGGCUCAACCUCAUAUAUAUCAUCAACUUUUCCAGCUAGUACUUGCUUAUCUCUAGUAGUUAUGAUGAUUCUACUUCCUGGUCCUAACCAAUCAUCUGUUCCAAUCAAAACUUCUAGUUGCUCUGCAUCUUUGACAUCAUCAAGAACAAUAAGAACCUUCAUGCGGCUAAGCCUUUUCUUAACCCAAGAAGGUAAUCCAUUAAUCAGGUCAUCUUUCAAAUUUUCUUCCUUUAAUAGAGUGGAUAAAAGCUUGUUUCUUAACCUCAAAUUGUUUGUGCCAUAUCUUUCUGAUUCUUCUCUUACAUUAGCCAUAAAACAAUAACUUUCGUAUUUAGAAUGUAGUCUACGAAAUACUUCUUCAGUAAUAGUUGUUUUACCAAUACCGGGCAUACCCCAAAUUCCAAGAACACGAACAUCUUCCAACUCUAAAUGUAACAAGGAUUCUAUAGGUGAAAUUUGCUUUUCAAUUCCUACAAGUCCUUUUGACUUGCCUUGGUCCACUUGAUUCAACUUUGUCAACACAUUUUGAACUAUUUCUUCAACAAGCUUAGCAUCAUCCCUGUAAAACAAAGAAAAGAGAAAACGUGUAAACUUCAAUCAAAUUAUAUUUAUUUUAACAAUACCUUACUUUGUAUGUAAAAUUACAAAGAAGAAAUUUUUAAAACAGAUUAUUUAUGUAUUUAUCCUUUCAAAUAUCUUUAACUUUGUUUUUAUGAUUUACAAUUACAACUGGGGAUGACGAUGGAUAUGAUUUGAGUUCAACAUGAUGAGUAUGAAAUCAAUGUCAUUGAUAUGAGUAGGAUACUAUAUACUAUGAGUAGUAUCCUACUCAUAUGGACAUGGAUACCGUGACAUGACUAAUGUCCACAAUAUAGGACACUAGAACACUAAUGGUGAGAUGGCAAAGUAUGAAGCCAGACUUGUGACCAAAGGCUUCCUACAAAGGCAUGGUCUAGAUUUUGAUCAAGUGUUUGCUCCAGUUGCAAGAAUUGAGACAGUAAGGCUUGUUGUUGCAAUGACUAGUGACAAGGGUUGGCCAAUGUAUCAAUUUGAUGUAAAAUCCGCAUUCCUUGAUGGGUCAUCAGAGGAAGAAGUAUAUAUGAAGUAACCACCGGAUAUGAAAUAACAGACCAAGAGAACAAAUUAUACAGAUUGAGAACGGCUCUAUAUGGUCUAAAACAGGCACCUAGAGCCUGAAACAAGAGAAUUGACAGCAUCCUCUUGCAGCAGGAUUUUGAGAAGUGAAAUAAUGAACAUAGUGUCUAUGUCAAAAGGUCAGAAUCCCUACCUAUAUUGCUGAUAUGUCUCUAUGCUGAAGUGGAGAUAGCCAAAUUCAAGUCAAGAAUGAAGGUGGAAUUUGAAUUGUUAGAUUUGGGAAUGCUAUCAUAUACUCUUCCUUGGGAUAGAGUUUGUCACAACAAAUAGCGGAGUUUUUAUGCAUCAAAGAGGUAUGCUAGUGAUGUACUGGAGAGGCUUAGCAUGAAUGAUUGCUAUAGCACUACAACUCCAUUUGAAACUGGAGUUGUGCUAUCCAAAGAAGGGAACAACUUAUCGACCCGACAUUGUUCAAGCAAUUAGUAGGAUCAUUGAGGUAUCUUUGUAACACUAUACCUGACAUACCUUAUAGUCCAUGGGACUGAUUAGUUGAUUCACAGAAGAGCCUCAAACACCACAUUUUUUGGCAGUCAAGAGAAUAUUGAAGUAUAUCAAUGGUACUGCAGGCUUUGGCAUACUAUAUCCAAGGAGUUCACCUAAUUCAGAAGCUGAGUUAAUUGGGUACACUGAUGCUGACUGGUGUGUAGAUAAAGAUGAUUGGAAAAACACAACUGACCAUGUCUUUAUGCUUGAGAAUUCACCAAUUUCAUGGUGUGCAAAAAAGCAAAGCAUAGUAGAUUAGCAGCUUUAUCCUCAUGUGAGGCGGAAUAUGUGGCUGCAUUAAUGGGAGCUUGCCAAGCCUUAUGGUUAACAACACUAAUGGAGGAAUUGAGAAAAUGAAUCUAAAAGAAGACAAGCCUUUGAAGAUGCUGAUUGACAAGUCAACAAUUGAUUUAGCCGAGCAUCCCAUUGCACAUGGUAGAAGUAAGCAUCUUGAGACAAGGUUCCAUUUUCUUCGAGGUGUGAACAAAGGUAAAUUGGAGCUGGAACAGUGUAAGUCAGAUGAACAAACAGCUGACAUACUUACAAAGCCAUUGAAGAGAUUGAAAUUCCAAGAGACGAGGGACAAGCUUGGUGUUGUAUCCUUAAGUACUAUGAAUUAGGGAGUGUGUUGAACUUGUAAUUCAGUUAUUAGUUAGAAAGUACUAUCAAGUUACUUAAGAAACUGUUUGUUAGUUAACAGGUAGUAGUUACAUAUGAAAUGGGAAGGGAUUGUCUCCCGUGAGAAUUUCACCGGAGACAAUCCAGUGUUAUCCUUGCCUUUCAAUUGUUUUUUUUUAUUGAUUGGGUUGCUUGCAAAAAAAUAAUGGAUGGCUAAGAUUUCAUGGGAGAUAAAUUUAAUGGGAGAGAAUCCCAUCCCAUAUGAAAUACUAUAAUUGUAAACCAAGUGUGUUACUUAUACAGUGUGAAUAAAAUUUGAUUCUUUCA